rnacentral:lncRNA from 1 species
UUUACAUGAAAUAAAUUGACCCAAAAUCCCCCCAAAAAUUUUUGGGGGGUAUUUUGAUCAUUUUGUUUUCUCGAAUAAUUUUUUUUAUAUUUUUAUUAGGUACGCCUUGAUGAGAAGAACACACACCUAAAAUUUCAAGUGAUUUGGAUUUGUAGAAAAAUAAAUAAAAUUCAAGCACUACCGGACAUCCGUGAUAGUCAGAUCGGCCCAAAUUCAAUCUGGGCCGUUGGGCUCAUAUCUUCAUAUAAGCUAGUGGGCUAAUCUCAGCUUUUUCCUACAUAUAUAUGGGAAAAGUUUCUAUAAUUCUCCUACAGCAUAGAAGAACUAUCCUCCCCCUACCAUCCAGCCAUCCAAUUUUGAUCAAAAGAGCCACUCACCGUUGAUCUUAGACCAGACGUCUUAAAGUAUUUUAUUUUUAGUUUUUUUUAUACAAAUUGUAUGAAUAUGAAAUUUCGUACGUGCCAUCUUCUCAUUGGGGCGCACCUAUAAAAAAUAUUAAAAAUAAUUUUUCCAUAAAAUAUAAUGACCAAAAUACCCCUUGAAACUUUCAGGGGUAUUUUGAUCAUUUUAAUUUAUUGAAAAUAUUUUUUUCGCUAGUGCGAGUUUAAUAGAGGAUUGGACAUCCAAAAUUUGGUCUCAAAAUAGUUUAUAGAAAAAAAUUAAAAAUAAAAUAGUGUAUAGACGUGACAUUGUGAUUGGGGCAUAUAUAUAUAUAUAUAUGGAAAACACUACGCAACGCCUAUAGGCGAAAAUGAACAGUGAUUUCGCCUACCCCCAUCACCGUCCAAAGUUCAUCGUGCGGUCACGAUUGUCCGGUAGUGUUACAUUUUUUAUUUUUUUCUGCAAAUCGGAAUGACCUGAAAUUUGGAGCAUGUAUUCAUCAAAAAUAAGAGAAUCUUCAAAAUUUUAAACAAAUAUUUUACAUGAAAAAAAUUGACCAAAAUACCCCCGAAAAUUUUUGGGGGUAUUUUGGUCAAUUUAUUUUUCACGGAUAAUUUUUUUUAUAUUUUUAUUAGAUGCGCCUUAGUAAGAUGUACAGACCCUGCAAAUUUCAAGCC